GAUGAACGCUGGCGGCGUGCCUAAUACAUGCAAGUCGAGCGAACAGAUGAGGAGCUUGCUCCUCUGACGUUAGCGGCGGACGGGUGAGUAACACGUGGAUAACCUACCUAUAAGACUGGGAUAACUUCGGGAAACCGGAGCUAAUACCGGAUAAUAUAUUGAACCGCAUGGUUCAAUAGUGAAAGACGGUUUUGCUGUCACUUAUAGAUGGAUCCGCGCCGCAUUAGCUAGUUGGUAAGGUAACGGCUUACCAAGGCAACGAUGCGUAGCCGACCUGAGAGGGUGAUCGGCCACACUGGAACUGAGACGCGGUCCAGACUCCUGCGGGAGGCAGCAGUAGGGAAUCUUCCGGAAUGGGCGAAAGCCUGACGGAGCAACGCCGCGUGAGUUAUGAAGGUCUUCGGAUCGUAAAACUCUGUUAUUAGGGAAGAACAAAUGUGUAAGUAACUAUGCACGUCUUGACGGUACCUAAUCAGAAAGCCACGGCUAACUACGUG
rnacentral:rRNA from 1 species